UGGGGAUCUCCCAUGACAAGUCUGAAGCUGUGAGGCUGAGCUCCUGGUGCUGUGUUGGGACAAGCCCUGACCGCGCUCCCACAUCAUGUACUGAGAGUGAGCUUCGGCUCACGUAUCCCUCAUCUGUUCCUCACUGAGGGCUCUGUGCCUUUGCCUCGGUUUCCCAAGUGAAUUUCUGGGAGUCCUGGGUUAAGUCCAGUGCAGGAGUGAGGGCUGCAGAAGAAGAGCUGGAGCGAUGCACCUCUCAUUCCAUCAUGGAAACAACAGUGGAAAUAACAAGGGCUUUGUGAGAGACUGAAGCUUCCGGAUAGGAUCUGCAACGCUCAGGUUCAGCCCCACCACUGGCAGACCUUCAGAGAAGUCGGUUCUUGCACAAACAGGAAG
rnacentral:lncRNA from 1 species